rnacentral:rRNA from 1 species
UACGAAGGGGGCUAGCGUUGCUCGGAAUGACUGGGCGUAAAGGGCGCGUAGGCGGACUGUACAGUCAGAUGUGAAAUUCCCGGGCUCAACCUGGGGGCUGCAUUUGAUACGUAUGGUCUAGAGUGAGGAAGAGGGUCGUGGAAUUCCCAGUGUAGAGGUGAAAUUCGUAGAUAUUGGGAAGAACACCGGUGGCGAAGGCGGCGACCUGGUCCUUUACUGACGCUGAGGCGCGAAAGCGUGGGGAGCAAACAGGAUUAGAUACCCUGGUAGUCCACGCUGUAAACGAUGUGUGCUGGAUGUUGGGCGACCUAGUCGCUCAGUGUCGUAGCUAACGCGAUAAGCACACCGCCUGGGGAGUACGGCCGCAAGGUUG